rnacentral:rRNA from 1 species
CCUACGGGAGACAGCAGUGGGGAAUAUUGCACAAUGGGGGCAAGCCUGAUGCAGCAACGCCGCGUGUUUGAAGAAGGCCUUCGGGUUGUAAAGAUCUUUAAUCGGGGACGAAUGUUGAGGGUACCCGAAGAAUAACCUCUGGCUAACCACGUGCCAGCAGCCGCGGCUAUACGUGGGGAGCAAGCGUUAUCCGGAUUUAGUGGGUGUAAGGGGCUCGUAGGCGGGCUGCCAAGCCUGAAGUGAAAGCUGGGGGCUUAACCCCCGAACUGCAUUUGAACCUGGCUGCCUUGAGUCAUGGAGAGGGAGGCGGAAUUCCCAGUGUAGCGGUGAAAUGCGUAGAGAUUGGGAGGAAUACCAGUGGCGAAGGCGGCCUGCUGGACAUUAACUGACGCUGAGGCGCGAAAGCGUGGGGAGCAAACAGGAUUAGAUACCCGAGUAGUC